rfam:Paracoccus denitrificans PD1222 chromosome 1, complete sequence.
GGUCGGAAAUCGGGAGACAUUGGCGCAAGCCAGGGCCGAAGGAGCAACCGCCCCGGGAAUCUCUCAGGCAAAGGGACCGUUUUCCGCCG